rnacentral:lncRNA from 1 species
GUCUUGAUUGUUGAAUAUUGGCAAUAUCCCACAUUAGGAAAAGAUAGAAAUGGAGGGGGUUUGGUUUGUUAUAUAUAGAACCCCUCCCCCUUUGGUUCUAUCAUCCCAAAAUCUUCUCCUUUGUAAUAUUUCUAGAGGAAAUAUUAAUUUGGUAGUGUCCGAGGACGUAAGCUAAAUUGGCCGAACCUCGUUAAAACUCUGGUAUUUUAUUUCUUAUUUGUUUGCUUUUAUUUAAUAGCUUUAUGUUGGUUAUAUUUAUUUAGUUAUUAUUGCUAUAAAUAUCUAAGUGAGUUCUGUCUAGUUGUUGGGUUUUAAGCGGGACCAUUGUGACCCCUCCAAUUUAACUGGAAAUUUUCUUAGUAUAAUUGUUGGCAUAAUAAUUAUCUAAAUAUUUCUGAUAAUAUUGUUAUUAAUAUUAUCGUCGCUUCCGCAACAAUUGGUAUCAGAGCCAAGGUUUUGUAGUAUGCUCUGUGUUUGCAGCUUAGUCUGAUCUUACACAUCAGAAACAUUUCCGAAAGCUUGUGGGUAUUCCGCAUUUGGUGGCUAUUAAAUAGAAGCUAUGGCAAAAAUGACAGAAGAAAAAUCAUCCAUAUCAACAACUUCCACUUCGUACAUUUUGUCGAGGGUUGGAACUGUAAAUACGAGAUUUGCAGUAGAAAUUUUUGAUGGAACAGGUCAUUUCGGCAUGUGGCAAAGCGAGCUUUUAGAUGCCCUCUUUCAACAAGGUCUAGAUAUUGCCAUUGAGGAAGAAAAACCAGAAGGGGUUGAUGAUAAAGAAUGGAAGACCAUCAACCGAUUGGCAUGUGGUACAAUUCGAUCAUGUCUUUCCAGAGAGCAAAAGUAUACAUUCAGUAAAGAGACUUCUGCAAGUAAAUUGUGGAAAGCAUUGGAGGAGAAAUUCUUGAAGAAGAACAGUCAAAAUAAGUUGCAUAUGAAGAAAAGACUGUUUCGUUUCAAUUAUGUUCCUGGUACCACGAUGAACGAGCACAUUACCAAUUUUAAUCAGCUGGUGGCUGAUUUGUUGAAUUUGGAUGUGACUUUUGAAGACGAAGACUUGGCGUUAAUGUUGUUGGGAUCGCUUCCUGAGGAGUUUGAGUACCUUGAAACUACUCUACUUCAUGGAAAAUCGAAAGUAACUUUCAAUGAAGUAACUGCUGCAUUGUAUAGCUAUGAACUACGCCGAAAGGAUAAGUUGAAAGGUUCAGGUGAAGCAGCAGUGGAAGCAUUGGUAACAAGAGGUCGUCAGCAAAGUCAGUCUAAGGGGAAGAGAAGAAAGUCCAAAGGUCGAGCUGUUGCCAAAGAUGAAUGUUUUUUUUGCAAAGAAAAAGGACAUUGGAAGAAAGAUUGUCCAAAAUUGAAGAAAAAAGGGAAGACUCCGCAAGAUGCAAAUGUUGCAGAAUGCAAUAGUGAAGCAGAGUUAGACUUUUCUCUUAGUAUGACAUCUUCAACAUUAUAUGCAGAUGAGUGGAUCAUGGAUUCUGGUUGUUCCUAUCAUAUGUGUCCCAUUCGGGAAUGGUUCUUUGAAUUUCAAAAACUAGAUGAAGGGGUUGUUUACAUGGGUAAUGAUAACACAUGUAAAAUAGCCGGGAUAGGUUCAAUUAAACUGAGGAGUCAUGAUGGAUCUACUAGAAUUUUGCGGGAUGUACGAUAUGUCCCAAAGUUGAAGAAGAAUCUCAUCUCUUUGGGGUCGUUAGAAUCUAAAGGCCUAGUUGUGACAAUACGAGAUGGAGUUCUUAAAGCAACUUCAGGAGCAUUGGUGAUGUUGAAAGGCAUAAGAAAGAACAAUCUGUAUUACUACCAAGGUAGUACAGUGGUCGGGACAACAGCAGCAGCAAUUACGAGUACCAAGAAGGACGCUGAGGCAACACAGCUGUGGCAUAUGCGUUUGGGCCAUGCUGGUGAAAAAUCCUUGCAAACUCUAGCCAAGCAAGGAUUAUUGAAAGGUACAAAGACUUGCAAACUUGAAUUUUGCGAGCAUUGUGUUCUGGGAAAACAACGAAGGGUGAAAUUUGGCACUGGGAUUCACAAUACUAAAGGUAUUCUGGAUUAUGUGCAUUCUGAUGUAUGCGGACCGUCCAAGACUCCAUCACUUGGAGGAAGACGUUAUUUUGUCACCUUUAUUGAUGAUUUUUCCAGACGAGUUUGGGUGUUUCCUAUGAAGAACAAAGAUGAGGUGCUUGAAGUUUUCCUUAAGUGGAAAACUAAAGUUGAAAAUCAGACAGGAAGGAAGAUUAAGGUUCUCCGAUCAGACAACGGUGGAGAAUAUAAAAGCGAUCCUUUCCUGAAGAUAUGCCAAGAUUGUGGCAUAGUAAGGCACUUCACCGUAGGUGGAACACCGCAACAGAAUGGGGUGGCAGAGCGUAUGAAUCGAACGCUUGUGGAGAAAGUUCGAUGUAUGUUAUCUAAUGCUGGAUUAGAUAGAAAGUUUUAGACUGAGGCUGUGACGUACGCUCAACAUCUCAUCAAUCAUUUGCCAUCAUCUGCUAUAAAUGGCAAGACUCCUUUGGAGAAAUGGUAUGGAAAACCUGCUACUGAUUAUGACACCUUGCGCAUUUUUGGUUCUAUUGCAUAUUAUCAUGUGAAAGAAUCAAAGUUAGAUCCAAGAGCAAAGAAGGCUCUAUUCAUGGGCUUCAAUGCUGGUGUUAAGGGAUAUCGUUUGUGGUGUCUAGAGGCAAAGAAGACGAUAAUCAGUAGGGAUGUUACCUUUCAUGAAUCUGCCAUGUUGAAUAAGGUAAAUCCAGAAGGAGUGAGUAGUACUUCGCAGCAGGUGGAGUGUACUCCGCAGCAGGUGGAGUUUGAGCAGAGUGUGGUAAUUCCAGCAGAAGGUACCACUAGUGAUUCUUCAUUGGCAGAUGCAGAGUCAGAUGAGGAAGAGGUUUCUACCCAAGAACCUCAACAGCAAUCAGAGCCAAUUGCAGUCAGAAGGCAGAGACGAGAAAUUCAGAAACCUGCUCGUUUCACUGACAUGGUAACUUAUGCACUUCCAGUUGUUGAUAAUAUUCCAUCCACUUACACCAAAGCCAUUCAGAGUUUAGAGAAUAAUAGAUGGUUAGGUGCAAUGGAAGAGGAAAUGCAAUCUCUAGAGAAAAACAAGACGUGGAAGCUGGCACAACUACCAAAAGGGAAGAAGGCGAUUGGUUGCAAAUUUGAAGACACUAUUGAAGUUAGUGUUAUGAGAAGAUGUUCGAAGAUGUGGAAUAUCGCCAAGGUGGAGAUUUGUUGAAUAUUGGCAAUAUCCCACAUUAGGAAAAGAUAGAAAGGGAGGGGGUUUGGUUUGUUAUAUAUAGAACCCCUCCCCCUUUGGUUGUAUCAUCCCAAAAUCUUCUCCUUUGUAAUAUUUCUAGAGGAAAUAUUAAUUUGGUAGUGUCCGAGGACGUAAGCUAAAUUGGCCGAACCUCGUUAAAACUCUGGUAUUUUAUUUCUUAUUUGUUUGCUUUUAUUUAAUAGCUUUAUGUUGGUUAUAUUUAUUUAGUUAUUAUUGCUAUAAAUAUCUAAGUGAGUUCUGUCUAGUUGUUGGGUUUUAAGCGGGACCAUUGUGACCCCUCCAAUUUAACUGGGAAUUUUCUUAGUAUAAUUGUUGGCAUAAUAAUUAUCUAAAUAUUUCUGAUAAUAUUGUUAUUAAUAUUAUCGUCGCUUCCGCAACAUU